UGGGGAAUAUUGGACAAUGGGCGAAAGCCUGAUCCAGCCAUGCCGCGUGUGUGAAGAAGGUCUUCGGAUUGUAAAGCACUUUAAGUUGGGAGGAAGGGUAGUAACUUAAUACGUUGCUACUUUGACGUUACCGACAGAAUAAGCACCGGCUAACUUCGUGCCAGCAGCCGCGGUAAUACGAAGGGUGCAAGCGUUAAUCGGAAUUACUGGGCGUAAAGCGCGCGUAGGUGGUUCAGUAAGUUGGAAGUGAAAUCCCCGGGCUCAACCUGGGAACUGCUUUCAAAACUGCUGAGCUAGAGUACGGUAGAGGGUGGUGGAAUUUCCUGUGUAGCGGUGAAAUGCGUAGAUAUAGGAAGGAACACCAGUGGCGAAGGCGACCACCUGGACUGAUACUGACACUGAGGUGCGAAAGCGUGGGGAGCAAACAGG
rnacentral:rRNA from 1 species